CAAACUUACCAGGGCAGGGAUGGCUAAACUGUGGCCCUCUGGAUAUUGUUGGACUACAACUUCUACCAGCAUGGGACUUACUUCUGAGGAAUGGGUAUGUGGCAGAUGCCUAGCAUGAAAAAGAUCCUACAGGUGAGAAGGGAGGCAAUUGAUAUGUCUGGAGUACCAGGAGGCUCCUACUGGGAGAAAGAGCAGGAUAUCAAUCAAUCAAUCAAUCAAUCUGGUUCCACACUAAUGUUGCAUUUCUGUACUCGCUUUCCUUGCAGUAAAGAGUGUGGCUUACUUUCUACUGUAUGCUUAGUGAGAAUGCACCCAAGUGGUCCAAAUACCUUCAGCGGUUAGCACAAGCAGCAUCAGAACAAGUAGCUAUCCUUUUCCAAGAAUAUGAGUCUGCUAAUUGAU